rnacentral:lncRNA from 1 species
CUGAACACACUUGGUGAAUUGUAGUGAUCAGCUAGGUGGCCCUUGAUCUCAAAAUAAGAAAGCUUGUCCACAUUGAUCCAUGACUCAGCAUUGUCUCCAACGUAGAACAUAGCGCCUCCCACCAUAGUAAAUGUACCACCAAAGUGGAAUCUUAUGCAAAUGUGUUCAUCCAUCCUGUUUCCAUCAACAUACAAGCCAUCAGAAGAACACAACCACUUGAAAAAUCAAAUUUUUUUAAACCCUAGCUAACAAUCGCAGCAACCAAAAGGAUGAACAUCAACAAAAAUAGUCACACCAUGCCCAUCCACUACGCCCAGAACACCUCUACGACAACACUUCACCCUAAAUCGCCGCCACCCAGAAAACCCCAAUUCCCCCCAAACC